CUGUUGCUCUGCAUGAUCGGUUUGGUUGCUACAGAGUUUCUCCUCUAAAAACCUUCCAAUAGAACAUCCCCACCUACACACACGCCUGGCAUGAAGCACUCCUGUGAAAGCACUACUUCUGUAGAGGAGAAGAGCAUUACUGGCUAUAAUGGCUCCAUCCUUGCCUGAUGUUAGAUGUUUAAAUGCUGUGGUCCUGAACAGAGCUGGAAUGGAAGACCACUUUGGGAUCCUGGCUAGCAACCUUAAAAGCUCCCUCAGGAAGAGGACCAAGGCUAGUAAACAGCAGAGUGUACAAGCAUAAAGACCACUGAAGAAUCCCCAUCAUCUCUAGCUAAGCAGUCAGUCCUCUCUCCAGCUGGGUCUGUCAUGUUUUCAUCAGAAGAUAUCUACUGCUUUAUACAGUGUUAAUUUUGGUUGUCUUUUCAUGUUUGUGUGUCUGUAGCUGAUGAAGUUUGGUCAUUGCUGACCUCUCCUCAAGUAUCUAUGGCAAAAGACAACAGGCACCUGUCUUGGC
rnacentral:lncRNA from 1 species